rnacentral:rRNA from 1 species
UGGGGAAUAUUGGACAAUGGGCGAAAGCCUGAUCCAGCCAUGCCGCGUGUGUGAAGAAUGUCUUCGUAUUGUAAAGCACUUUGAGUUGGGAGGAAGGGCAGUAAGCGAAUACCUUGCUGUUUUGACGUUACCGACAGAAUAAGCACCGGCUAACUCUGUGCCAGCAGCCGCGGUAAUACAGAGGGUGCAAUCGUUAAUCGGAAUUACUGGGCGUAAAGCGCGCGUAGGUGGUUCGUUAAGUUGAAUGUGAAAGCCCCGGGCUCAACCUGGGAACUGCAUCCAAAACUGGCGAGCUAGAGUAGGGCAGAGGGUGGUGGAAUUUCCUGUGUAGCGGUGAAAUGCGUAGAUAUAGGAAGGAACACCAGUGGCGAAGGCGACCACCUGGGCUCAUACUGACACUGAGGUGCGAAAGCGUGGGGAGCAAACAGG